rnacentral:rRNA from 1 species
UACGUAGGGUCCAAGCGUUAAUCGGAAUUACUGGGCGUAAAGCGUGCGCAGGCGGUUCUGAAAGUCAGCUGUGAAAGCCCCGGGCUUAACCUGGGAAUGGCGGUUGAAACUACAGGACUAGAAUCUGGCAGAGGGGGGUGGAAUUCCACGUGUAGCAGUGAAAUGCGUAGAGAUGUGGAGGAACACCGAUGGCGAAGGCAGCCCCCUGGGCUGAGAUUGACGCUCAGGCACGAAAGCGUGGGGAGCAAACAGG